rnacentral:rRNA from 1 species
GAUGAACGCUGGCGGCGUGCCUAAUACAUGCAAGUCGAGCGAAUGGAUUAAGAGCUUGCUCUUAUGAAGUUAGCGGCGGACGGGUGAGUAACACGUGGGUAACCUGCCCAUAAGACUGGGAUAACUCCGGGAAACCGGGGCUAAUACCGGAUAACAUUUUGAACCGCAUGGUUCGAAAUUGAAAGGCGGCUUCGGCUGUCACUUAUGGAUGGACCCGCGUCGCAUUAGCUAGUUGGUGAGGUAACGGCUCACCAAGGCAACGAUGCGUAGCCGAACUGGGAGGGGUAUCGGCCACACUGGGACUGAGACACGGCCCAGACUCCUACGGGAGGCAGCAGUAGGGAAUCUUCCGCAAUGGACGAAAGUCUGACGGAGCAACGCCGCGUGAGUGAUGAAGGCUUUCGGGUCGUAAAACUCUGUUGUUAGGGAAGAACAAGUGCUAGUUGAAUAAGCUGGCACCUUGACGGUACCUAACCAGAAGGCCACGGCUAACUACGUGCCAGCCGCCGCCGUAA